rnacentral:lncRNA from 1 species
GGAUCCUGUUCUGAUUAUACUACUCGUUCCUGUGAUCCCACUAUUUUACUCCAUGAUCCGGGCAUGCUAUUCCGUUAUUAUCGUCCAUGAGUCGAUGAUUCUCCAGGGCCUGGGGAGAAGCGCUCGGAAGCGGGGGCUGCAGGGAGAGGAAGGGAGGGAUGGUGUGUGCAGACGCAGCCCCGUCGACCAAUCCUUGGGCGGUGUGCCUCCCACGGGCCGGGUCUCCAGGCCUCGGACAGGCUCUGGGCCGUCAGGGGGUCGUGCCAUUGCCUCCGGCCCAAGGAGGCCAGCAGCCUGGGUGGCAGGUACAGAUGAAGCCUCUCUGGUGAAGUGAGGGGUCUGCGCCCCUAUAUGGUGCAUGUCUGUGGGGUCCACAGAGUGGCCUCCAGUGCCUCCUCCUCUGUCACCUCCCAGCAUCACCCCUCUUCCUGCUGGGCCCAGGGCCCUGCAGGCUUGUCCCACCCGGAAGCGAUAAAGACCUUCGGGUGCAUUUUUCUGGCUGGUCUCCCCUCCCUGGGCUCUCCCAAGGCGUUAGGAAGAAGAGCGAAGCCUGAUGGAAAUCUCUUGCAGGGUGCAGGCUGGUCCAAGCAGCUGGGGCGACGAGGGGUGGAGAUGCCUGGGCAGGGCCCUUCCUUGGUGGCUCGGGAAGGCCGAGUCUCAGCUCCCAGGCACAGCUGGGUGUCUCGCCCCCCUUGGCCAACACCAGGGACCCCAGCCAGGACUGGUCCUCCCACUGCAGCCCGGCCAGGGCUCUCUCUUCCUCCCUGUCUGCUGAGGCAGCCUCCUGGCUGCUCCCUGACCUUGAUCCCAGUCCAGAGGCCACAGCUGAUGUUUCCUGGGGGGUUUUCUUGGAACCCAGAGCUUCUCUCCAGGGGGAGCUUCAGGCUCGCCUGCCCUUUAGAUCUCUGCCCAGUCUCCACUUUGAGCUGUCUCCUUUUGGAUUGACAGGUGGACAGUGUCAAGGAAGGUACGGGACUAGGAGCUUUAAGAAAUAGUCUUGUCCCGGUUCCUCUGGGGGCUAAAGUGACGUGACUUCCCUUUCCAGCCUCGGUCUCCUCCCCUCACAGAGCUGGUGCCCGGGUGCACGCUGCCCAGCGGUGAGCGAGGCCGCCAACAACUCCUUCGUCUUCCCUUGGGGGUCCCGGCCAGCGGCCCUCCUCGUCUGGGAGGCUGUGCUGUCCUUGCAUGGGGACCGAUGGACACGGGUGGACAGAAGUCUGGCCUCUGCAUCAGGGUGGGAGCUCCCAUGGGACGAGGCUGCCUGCAUGUCUCGCUCCUUCUCCUGUAGAGCUCUCCUGCGGGAGGCCACCACACAGGGAUCCCUGUGCCAGGGAACCGGCCUAGACACUGGGACCAGGAGUGGCCUCAGCAAGUGGACCGGGAGGGAGGGGCUCUGGAGGAGGCUGUGUUGCCCGCUGAGGGCAGUGCAGGCCCCAUCGCUGGGGCAGGCCCAGCGUAUAUGGUCACCAAAGGCUGUAGGGGUGGGACAGCCAAGUGAGUGAGCUGGAGGGCCCAGGUGGGAGGGGAGACGUGAGUGAGCGGGAGGGCGCAGAGGAAGCGGGUGCUGGAGCUGACGCAGCAUCCCCGGCAUGGAGAGGUACGGGGAGGAGUCAGCCAUGAGGACCACGCAAUCCGGCAGCUGUUGCUAAGAGCCACUGACGUGUGGAAGAGAGACAACGGCAGGCUCAGGUCUGUUAAUCAUCAAUUUAACAACUGUUGUGAGGGUCAGAGGGCGUCCUUGGCAGCAUCUGAAGAGAAGCUCGUCUCCCGUGGUCGGUGGCGGAGCGAGUUUGGAGAUGAGGCACAGAACUUAACCGCGAGCAGGCUGCAUUCUCAGGGAAUCGUCCCCGCCCGCCACUGGGGUCUGACAGGGAGGCAGUGGGCCCCGAGACUGGGGGCAUUUCUGGGAGAGGCACUGGAACCCCAAGCCACAGGAUGCCCCUGCUGGAAGAUGACUCAGAGGCGCCAAAUGAGCCCCUGGACAGACUGGCCUCCGACAUUCCCGGAUGGCUCUGGAAGCUUCCAGUUAAAUUAAGUGGAGAUGCCAGAAAUGCCAUGGCAAUCUGCGGAGGAUGGAUCAGAAGCUCAGAGAAGCAGGCACACCGGGACGGUUCCACUGCACACGACCGGAAACCCACAGUCUGCUCCCCAAGGGCAUAAGGACCGCCCUGGUGUGGGCACGAUGUCGUGGAGGAGAUGGCGGUGGCCGUCCUCGGUAGCCGGGCGGAUGGUGAGAGAUGCUGUUGCAGCCCAGGGUGACGAGGUGUGAAACUGCAGAGGCCGGAGCAGCUCCGCCCUACAGGAGCGGGUGGGGGUCCCUGUGGUGGGCUGUGGGCAGCUGGCACCCCCUUGCAGGGGACUGUGACAGUGGCUCCCAGAACACAGUGCUCUCGGUGCAAGAAAAUUGGGCAGCCAACAAGAAAUAUGCUAAUAUAUAAAAUCUAAAGAGGUGAAGAAUGGACAAGCAGAAGCUGAUGUCAGCUGCCCUGUUACCAGACGAGAGGAAGUUCUCAGACCCAGAACCCAUCCAUGCGAGCGGUGGGCACUGUGACCCACGGCCCGCGUCUACAGCUGCGGUGCCCGCCAUUCCCAGAGGGGCUUGGCUGUUCCCUCAGGAAGCCACUCCCUGGGGGGGGCACAGGGUUGGGAGGGUGCUGGUGUAAGGUUGGAAGAUGCUGGUUUCUGGGUCUCUGAGGUGCCGUGCUGAUCCCUGUUGAGAAGUUAAGAAGGAACAUGUCAGGGCAGGUGCUGAACACGUCUGUACAGACGUCCACUGGGCCCACACGCCUGCCCCCUGUGGUCCUCCCCUUACUCUGAGCGUGGAUGGCAGGGGUGUGCGUGGUGUUGGCAGAGUCUGACAUUGAUUCUUUGCCCUGCAGAGCAUGCGCCUGCCUUCUGCACCCUGCCCCUAGUCCUCUGACCCUUGGAGACCCCGUCUCGAUGGCCCCUGUUUGAGUCCGCUCUGCCCCUCUGUGCCCCACCUCUCUCUGUCACCAUGUGUUCAGGAGUCUGCCUCUGCCGUCCGCCUUCCCUAUCCCGUUAUCCUCAGCGUCGACGCUGUGUGGAUGCUGCAGGCAUCACGGAGCAUCUGUGGCCCUUCUGCUGGUCUUCAGACUGUGCUCGUCCUGACUCCUCCCCACCAAGUCUGCAUGCCCUUGGGCUGACCUCUCCCUCUUGGACGUUGCUGUCCAGGGCAGGACACCGCCCUCAGGACCUCUGACCAGAACAGAGCAAUGGCACCAUCCCGGCACGUCCUGGACACCACCCUCUAGCUUCGGCCACUGUCUGGCCCUAUUGACUCCUGAGCAGCUGGCAACUGAAACCCUUAACAUCUUUUCCCUCACUGAAAUUGGGGUUGAUUCAGUGCCCUGCUACAAUUUGGCUGGGGACCCCAGGUUUAGUGCACAUGUUGGGGUGCACGUGUGGGUGUGAUGGGCAUCUAUCUGGCUGCUGUGUUGGGGUGUCCCCCGCUGUGGGAAGCAUUCCCCCACUCUAGUUACCAUUGUAUUGUGACAAGGUCUGGCAAUGGAAGGAGAAUCGUGCAAGGCACUUCUCCAGGGAACAUACUUCUUUAAGCAGAGUCCUUUGUCCUCCUUUCUAAAGCCUAUUACUGAUUAACGUCUUCCCUCUGUUCUGGAAACCUUGUAAAAACAGGCAGAACUAGCAAUAAACAUAUCUCAAAGAACAAACAGCAGCCCCCAAGGAGGUGGGGGUCUAUAGUCCGUUAAUUAUGCUCGCUGUCCUCCUAACUUCUUUGCAGACCCUGAAACUGUGUAACCUCUUCCUAAACAAUCGAUAUGUCUGCUGCACAUCUGGAUGUAGAUGACCACCUUUGAUUAUUACCUUUAGUCACACCUGCCCCUCAUCUAUUGUUCCCAUGACGACAAUAGUUA